AUAUAAACCAUACGAAUAUUUCUGUAGUCCAAGAACAGAAGUAUUUCUGCUAAAAAAAAAGAAAUAAGAAGUUGUUAGCAAUGGCGAAUCUUUCCUUCAACCAUUUCCUCAUCCUUUUCCUUAUUUUAUCAGCUUCAUCUAUGAUCCCCAAAGCAAGAGCACAGAAAAGGUGUCAAGCGAUUUUACAUCCAACGGGAUGUGUACUGUACGAUUGUAAGAAAGAAUGUUUCGAAAAACAUAACUCUGGAAAUGGGAUUUGUGUUGAAAACGCAUCCAUGACAGAUUAUGCUUGCUAUUGCUUUUGGAAUUGCUGAUCCUUUGUUAUUCCUUUCUUGUUCCUUCUAAUAAUUUUCAACUAUUGGAUUAUUACUCAAUGAUCCAAUAGUUCAUCGUGAUGAUAUCACGUUUAAAUGGUCGAUAUGUAAUAAUUCACAAAUGGAACUAUUUUAAUAAAAUGGAUUA